AAAAUUUGGAGUGGAGACCCUGUUUCCAUAACUUCCAUUGCACUUAGGUUGGGUUGACCCCUGCGAGUAUUCCAAAUGUGAAUACCUCGGGCGCGUAAUUUUUGGCAGCGGGGAUUGCGUACGCGCACAUCCCUA
rnacentral:snRNA from 11 species